UCAGGCCUAACACAUGCAAGUCGAGCGGUAGCACAGAGAGCUUGCUCUCGGGUGACGAGCGGCGGACGGGUGAGUAAUGUCUGGGAAACUGCCUGAUGGAGGGGGAUAACUACUGGAAACGGUAGCUAAUACCGCAUAACGUCGCAAGACCAAAGUGGGGGACCUUCGGGCCUCAUGCCAUCAGAUGUGCCCAGAUGGGAUUAGCUGGUAGGUGGGGUAACGGCUCACCUAGGCGACGAUCCCUAGCUGGUCUGAGAGGAUGACCAGCCACACUGGAACUGAGACACGGUCCAGACUCCUACGGGAGGCAGCAGUGGGGAAUAUUGCACAAUGGGCGCAAGCCUGAUGCAGACGUGCCGCGUGUGUGAAGAAGGCCUUCGGG
rnacentral:rRNA from 1 species